GACGUAGGGUGCGAGCGUUGUCCGGAUUUAUUGGGCGUAAAGAGCUCGUAGGCGGUGUGUCACGUCGAUCGUGAAAACUUUCAGCUUAACUGGGAGCUUGCGGUCGAUACGGGCAUCACUGGAGUUCGGCAGGGGAGACUGGAAUUCAAGGUGUAGCGGUGAAAUGCGCAGAUAUCUUGAGGAACACCGGUGGCGAAGGCGGGUCUCUGGGCCGAUACUGACGCUGAGGAGCGAAAGCGUGGGGAGCGAACAGG
rnacentral:rRNA from 1 species